rnacentral:lncRNA from 1 species
AGAACACUCAGGUACAAAUGCCCAGCUGGAAAAGAAGAUGCAUAUCCAGGAGUAUCAGAAAAUAAAAACAGCAAAAAAGUGUGCAGGUGGAUUUUGGUCUUAGAGUUGUUUAAAUACCAGGGUAGAGUUUGAACUUUAGGUAAUGAGAAGCCAGAGAAAGAUUUUGAGAAGUAAUGAACACCUGCUAAGACUGUAUAAUUUCAAAGCCCUUCAUGUACAAUCUUUCAGCGAGUCCUCUUAACAAUCCUUCAAAGAAGAAACAACAUUAGCGUCCCAUUGUGACUUUUCAGGAAGGUGAGGCUCAGAGAAGGGGUGAUGUUACUAGUUGGGUAGCCAAUCAAUGGUAAAACUGGGUCUCUAAGCUAAAUAGUAUGUAGUGCUUUCAGAAGUUUGAUCAGGGAAUGGCUUGUAGAAUGUAGAACGUAUUAAAAGGAGGGAAACAUUCAGAAGCUAUUGCAGAGACCCAUAAGGUGGAUUCUUUAAGUUAGAAAAAAGUUAGAAAUCUAAAUGCAAACAUCAACCCUCAUGGCCACACUGUGGAUUGUUGCUCUUCUAAGGGGACUGGAGGCAAAGUGAUGGUCUCUGGAUCUAAAAACGAGUUACACCCAUCCAUGUGUCUUUCUCUUCAUCUGACAGAUACAUGAGUAACUGACUUCAUUUACCAAGCAGUCUGCGCACAACGUAAAAUCAUGCUACUCAUCUGAACUGAAAAAUAUUCUUUAUUUUCCAGAAGAGUCUCCAAGCACCAUGUGUGAGAGAACAUGACAGAAUAGAAACUGAUUAUGCAAAAUGUGCGAGAGAGAACUGCAGCUCUUGGUGACAUGUGGCAGCCUCGCUGGGAAAGGAGAGCUGUGGAACUCCGGGCCUUCUACACCUUGGGAGGAGGAACUAGAGUCUCCAAUCAAAUGAGAGAUGACGCCAGUGCCAGGACUUCUGCAGACUGAAGGGACAAGGUGCUGAAGACACCUCACAUUUCUAGUUUCGGAUUCAACUUCUGCCUCUUCUGGCACUUUAAGUCUACAGAAAAAUUCUAUUUGGAAUUGUAUCCCCUGUGCCCAUACUUCCUGUGGCAGAGUCAGCUCACUGCUCACAGAAAAAUCUGUGUUCUUCUUUCCCGGUGUACCAUUGUCACUAGGAAGUGGCUGCCCAGCCAGGGCUUGAGUUUUCCUGCUUCUCUGGAUUUAGGUGCAGCCACAUGGCUGAGCUCUCUGUAACGAAAUGUGAGCAGGUCAGAUCAACUAGAACCUCUCAUGGGACCUCUCCAUUCUCUUUUCCAAUUGGCUGUUGUUUUCCAAGGACUCAGACUCUACUGAUGGAAGAGCCAUGAUACAGAAGGUGUCUGGGUCCCUGAAUCACCCACCACUGGAGGAAAUCUUCAUUGGACUGUUAAAUGAGUAGCAAUUAACUCCUAUUGUGUUAAGCCACUGACAUUUUAUAAUUUACUUAUGACUGCUAAUACUUGAAAGUACUUCGAAUUCAACAAGAGAUAGCUUCAGAGAAUUAUAAGAAUUCUCUGUGUCUCCACCUAAGAUUGAGCAAACAUCCACUUCUGCUGAACUCUACAAGCCCAAGGAGUGGCAAAUGACUGUGUAGAGAUUGUUCAACCUGCAGAGGGUUAAUUACUCCAAUACUUUUGCCUGGGGAAAGCAGACUAAAAUCCGGAAAGAAGUUGUCUCCAUUUUCACCCUUCAAAAAAAAAUAUGUACAUAUGCUUCAAGAGUAACCCUGCAUUGCAAGGGAUAAAGAGGACCAUUUUGAAAAUUUGCUCGGGGGCUUAAAAUUCUUAGGUUGGUCACUGAGUCAUCAAUUUGCUAUGUAAUAAAUAAUCAGAGUGAGAAAAAACCCA